GACGAACCACACAAACGUUAUUCGGAAUUACUGGGCUUAAAGGGUGCGUAGGCGGCGCAGAAAGUAGGGUGUGAAAUCCCUCGGCUCAACCGAGGAACUGCGCCCUAAACUACUGUGCUCGAGGGAGGUAGGGGUGAGCGGAACUUAGGGUGGAGCGGUGAAAUGCGUUGAUAUCCUAAGGAACACCGGUGGCGAAAGCGGCUCACUGGACCUCUUCUGACGCUGAGGCACGAAAGCUAGGGUAGCGAACGGG
rnacentral:rRNA from 1 species